GCAUAUCAAUAAGCGGAGGAAAAGAAACCAACAGGGAUUGCCUUAGUAACGGCGAGUGAAGCGGCAACAGCUCAAAUUUGAAAGCUGGCUCCUUCGGAGUCCGCAUUGUAAUUUGUAGAGGAUGAUUCGGCAAGGGCUCCCGCCUAAGUCUCCUGGAACGGAGCGUCAUAGAGGGUGAGAAUCCCGUAUGCGGUGGGCUGCCUAAGCCAUGUGAAUCUCCUUCGACGAGUCGAGUUGUUUGGGAAUGCAGCUCUAAAUGGGAGGUAAAUUUCUUCUAAAGCUAAAUACCGGCCAGAGACCGAUAGCGCACAAGUAGAGUGAUCGAAAGAUGAAAAGCACUUUGGAAAGAGAGUUAAAAAGUACGUGAAAUUGUUGAAAGGGAAGCGCUUGCAGCCAGACUUGUCCGCAGUUGCUCAGCCGGUCUCCUGACCGGUGUACUCUUCUGCGGCCAGGCCAGCAUCAGUUCGGGCGGUCGGAUAAAGACCUCGGGAAUGUAGCUCCUCUCGGGGAGUGUUAUAGCCCGGGGUGGAAUGCGGCCAGCCCGGACUGAGGAUCUCGCUUCGGCUAGGAUGCUGGCGUAAUGGCUGUAAGCGGCCCGUCUUGAAACACGGACC
rnacentral:rRNA from 1 species